rnacentral:rRNA from 1 species
AGUGAACGCUGGCGGUAGGCCUAACACAUGCCAGUCGAACGGCAGCACAGUAAGAGCUUGCUCUUACGGGUGGCGAGUGGCGGACGGGUGAGGAAUACAUCGGAAUCUACUUUUUCGUGGGGGAUAACGUAGGGAAACUUACGCUAAUACCGCAUACGACCUACGGGUGAAAGCAGGGGAUCUUCGGACCUUGCGCGAUUGAAUGAGCCGAUGUCGGAUUAGCUAGUUGGCGGGGUAAAGGCCCACCAAGGCGACGAUCCGUAGCUGGUCUGAGAGGAUGAUCAGCCACACUGCAACUGAGACACGGUCCAGACUCCUACGGGAGGCAGCAGUGGGGAAUAUUGGACAAUGGGCGCAAGCCUGAUCCAGCCAUACCGCGUGGGUGAAGAAGGCCUUCGGGUUGUAAAGCCCUUUUGUUGGGAAAGAAAAGCAGCAGGUUAAUACCCCGCUGUUCUGACGGUACCCAAAGAAUAAGCACCGGCUAACUUCGUG